GAUGAACGCUAGCGGCAGGCUUAAUACAUGCAAGGCGAGGGGGCAGCAAUGUCACCGUCGUACGGGUGCGUAACGCGUAUGCAACCUACCUUCAACUGGGGGAUAGCCCGGGGAAAACCCGGAUUAAUACCGCAUAACACAAUGAGUUCUCCUGGGUUUAUUGUUAAAGAUUUAUUGGUUGAAGAUGGGCAUGCGUUCGA
rnacentral:rRNA from 1 species